AAUAUAAAAAAGAAGAUGUGGUAUGAUUGCCAAUGAGACAACUAUCCACAAAAGACUAAAAUGACACAGACAUUAACAACUAUAGGUCACCGUACGGCCUUCAACAAUGAGCAAAGCCCAUACCGCAUAAUCAGCUAUAAAAGGCCCGAUAAGACAAUGUAAAACAAUUCAAACGAGAAAACUAACGGCCUUAUUUAUGUAAAAAAAAAUGAACGAAAAACAAAUAUGUAACACAUAAACAAACGACAACGACUGAAUAACAGGCUCCUGACUUGAGACAGGCAC
rnacentral:lncRNA from 1 species